rnacentral:tRNA from 1 species
ACAUUAGUGGUUCAGUGGUAGAAUUCUUACCUUCCAUUUGGGAGUCCUGGCUUCAAUUGCCAGCCAAUAUA